GAUCUAACCAUGAGCAGGUUGAAGCUUGGGUAAUACUAAGUGGAGGACCGAACCGACUGAUGUUGAAAAAUCAGCGGAUGACUUGUGGUUAGGGGUGAAAUGCCAAUCGAAUUCGGAGCUAGCUGGUUCUCCCCGAAAUGCGUUUUGGCGCAGCGGUAGAUGUUAUAGUUUAGGGGUAAAGCACUGUUACGUAUGCGGGCUGGUAAUUCGGUACCAAAUCGUUGCAAACUAAGAAUACUAAAUGUAUAGUCUACCAGUAAGACUGUGGGGGAUAAGCUCCAUUGUCAAGAGGGAAACAGCCCAGAGCACCAGUUAAGGCCCUUAAAUAAUUACUAAGUGGUAAAGGAGGUGGGAGUGCAUAAACAAUCAGGAGGUUUGCUUAGAAGCAGCAAUCCUUUAAAGAGUGCGUAAUAGCUCACUGAUCGAGUAAACCUGCGCCGAAAAUGUAUGGGACUAAGUAAUUUGCCGAAACUGUGCGAUAUAUAUUUAUAUAUCGGUAGGGGAGCGUUCUGUUGUAGGUCGAAGUAUUAGCGUAAGCGGAUAUGGACGAAGCAGAAGUGAGAAUGUCGGCUUGAGUAACGAAAAUAUAGGUGGGAAUCCUAUACCCCGAAAACCCAAGGUUUCCUCCGGAAGGCUCGUCCGCGGAGGGUAAGUCAGGACCUAAGGCGAGGCUGAAAAGCGUAGUCGAUGGACAACGGGUUAAUAUUCCCGUACCGUUUUUUAUUGAUAUCGAGGGACGGAGAAGGCUAAGCUAGCCGGAUAUUGGUUUUACCGGUUUAAGCGUUCAAGAUGUUGAGAAGCGGCGAAAACGCUUUGAGUUGAGACGUGAGUACGAGACGCUAAGGCGUCGAAGUAGUGGAUGUCAUACUUCCAAGAAAAGCUUGCACUGUCAUAAAUAAAAAACGCCUGUACCAUAACCGACACAGGUGGGUAGGUAGAGUAUACUAAGGGGCGCGAGAUAACUCUCUCUAAGGAACUCGGCAAAAUGACUCCGUAACUUCGGGAGAAGGAGUGCCUUAUUCGUAAGGCUGCAAUAACAAGAUCCAAGCAACUGUUUAUCAAAAACACAGGUCUCCGCUAAGUCGUAAGACGAUGUAUGGGGGCUGACGCCUGCCCAGUGCCAGAAGGUUAAAGAAGUCGGUUAGCAUUAGCGAAGCUGGUAACUGAAGCCCUGGUGAACGGCGGCCGUAACAAUAACGGUCCUAAGGUAGCGAAAUUCCUUGUCGGGUAAGUUCCGACCUGCACGAAUGGCGUAACGACUUCCCCGCUGUCUCCAACAUCGACUCAGCGAAAUUGAAUUGCCUGUCAAGAUGCAGGCUUCCCGCGGUUAGACGGAAAGACCCCGUGCACCUUUACUACAGCUUCGCACUGGUAUCAGGAUUGUGACGUGCAGGAUAGGUGGUAGGCAUCGAAGCGUGAACGCUAGUUCACGUGGAGCCUCCCUUGAGAUACCACCCUUCGCACUCUUGAUAUCUAACCGCGGUCCAUUAUCUGGAUCCGGGACCCUGCGUGGCGGGUAGUUUGACUGGGGCGGUCGCCUCCUAAAUGGUAACGGAGGCGUACAAAGGUUUCCUCUGAACGGGUAGAAAUCGUAUCUAGAGUGUAAAGGCAUAAGGAAGCUUGACUGUGAGACCUACAAGUCGAGCAGGGACGAAAGUCGGUCUUAGUGAUCUGACGGUACUGAGUGGAAAGGCCGUCACUCAACGGAUAAAAGUUACUCUAGGGAUAACAGGCUGAUCUCCCCCAAGAGUUCACAUCGACGGGGAGGUUUGGCACCUCGAUGUCGGCUCAUCGCAUCCUGGGGCGGUAGUACGUCCCAAGGGUUGGGCUGUUCGCCCAUGAAAGCGGUACGCGAGCUGGGUUCAGAACGUCGUGAGACAGUUCGGUCCAUAUCCGGUGUAGGCGUUAGAAUAUUGAGAGGAGCCUUCUUUAGUACGAGAGGACCGAGAAGGACAUACCUCUGGUGUACCAGUUAUCGUGCCAACGGUAAACGCUGGGUAGCUAUGUAUGGAGUGGAUAACCGCUGAAAGCAUCUAAGUGGGAAGCCCACCUCAAGAUAAGUAUUCUCAUCACGUAAGUGAGUAAGGUCACGGUAAGACUAACCGUUUGAUAGGCAUUAAGUGUAAGUACAGUAAUGUAUGUGCUGAGAUGUCCUAAUAGACCGAGGACUUG
rnacentral:rRNA from 1 species